AACGAACGCUGGCGGCAGGCCUAACACAUGCAAGUCGAACGUGAAGCCACCUUCGGGUGGUGGAAAGUGGCAGACGGGUGAGUAACGCGUGGGAACGUGCCUUUCGAUUCGGAAUAACCCAGGGAAACUUGGGCUAAUACCGGAUACGCCCUUCGGGGGAAAGAUUUAUCGCCGAAAGAUCGGCCCGCGUCGGAUUAGCUAGUUGGUAGGGUAAUGGCCUACCAAGGCGACGAUCCGUAGCUGGUCUGAGAGGAUGACCAGCCACACUGGGACUGAGACACGGCCCAGACUCCUACGGGAGGCAGCAGUGGGGAAUAUUGGACAAUGGGCGAAAGCCUGAUCCAGCCAUGCCGCGUGGGUGAAGAAGGCCCUAGGGUUGUAAACCCCUUUCAGCGGGGAAGAUAAUGACAGUACCUGGAGAAUAAGCUCCGGCUAACUCCGUGCCAGCCGCCGCCGUAACAC
rnacentral:rRNA from 1 species